AGUAAAAGUCGUAACAAGGUUUCCGUAGGUGAACCUGCGGAAGGAUCAUUACCGAGUGAGGGCCCUCUGGGUCCAACCUCCCACCCGUGUUUAUUUUACCUUGUUGCUUCGGCGGGCCCGCCUUUACUGGCCGCCGGGGGGCUCACGCCCCCGGGCCCGCGCCCGCCGAAGACACCCUCGAACUCUGUCUGAAGAUUGAGGUCUGAGUGAAAAUAUAAAUUAUUUAAAACUUUCAACAACGGAUCUCUUGGUUCCGGCAUCGAUGAAGAACGCAGCGGAAUGCGAUACGUAAUGUGAAUUGCAAAUUCAGUGAAUCAUCGAGUCUUUGAACGCACAUUGCGCCCCCUGGUAUUCCGGGGGGCAUGCCUGUCCGAGCGUCAUUGCUGCCCUCAAGCCCGGCUUGUGUGUUGGGCCCCGUCCUCCGAUUCCGGGGGACGGGCCCGAAAGGCAGCGGCGGCACCGCGUCCGGUCCUCGAGCGUAUGGGGCUUUGUCACCCGCUCUGUAGGCCCGGCCGGCGCUUGCCGAUCAACCCAAAUUUUUAUCCAGGUUGACCUCGGAUCAGGUAGGGAUACCCGCUGAACUUAAGCAUAUCAAUAAGCGGAGGA
rnacentral:rRNA from 1 species